rnacentral:rRNA from 1 species
UAAGGGCGCACGGUGGAUGCCUUGGCACUAGAAGCCGAUGAAGGACGUUACUAACGACGAUAUGCUUUGGGGAGCUGUAAGUAAGCUUUGAUCCAGAGAUUUCCGAAUGGGGAAACCCAGCAUGAGUUAUGUCAUGUUAUCGAUAUGUGAAUACAUAGCAUAUCAGAAGGCACACCCGGAGAACUGAAACAUCUUAGUACCCGGAGGAAGAGAAAGAAAAUUCGAUUCCCUUAGUAGCGGCGAGCGAAACGGGAAGAGCCCAAACCAACAAGCUUGCUUGUUGGGGUUGUAGGACACUCUAUACGGAGUUACAAAGGACGACAUUAGACGAAUCAUCUGGAAAGAUGAAUCAAAGAAGGUAAUAAUCCUGUAGUCGAAAAUGUUGUCUCUCUUGAGUGGAUCCUGAGUACGACGGAGCACGUGAAAUUCCGUCGGAAUCUGGGAGGACCAUCUCCUAAGGCUAAAUACUCUCUAGUGACCGAUAGUGAACCAGUACCGUGAGGGAAAGGUGAAAAGCACCCCGGAAGGGGAGUG